UAUAUUUAAGUUGUUGCAGUUAAAAAGCUCGUAGUCGGAUUUUGGCUGAGAACGGUCGGUCCGCCGUUAGGUGUGCACUGACUGGUCUCAGCUUCCUGGUGAGGAGGUGUGCUUCAUCGCCACUUAGUCACCGUGGUUACUUUGAAAAAAUUGGAGUGUUCAAAGCGGGCUUACGCUUGAAUAUAUUAGCAUGGAAUAACACCAUAGGACUCCUGUCCUAUUUCGUUGGUCUCGGGACGGGAGUAAUGAUUAAGAGGAACAGUUGGGGGCAUUCGUAUUUCAUUGUCAGAGGUGAAAUUCUUGGAUUUAUGAAAGACGAACUUCUGCGAAAGCAUUUGCCAAGGAUGUUUUCAUUGAUCAAGAACGAAAGUUGGGGGCUCGAAGAUGAUUAGAUACCAUCCUAGUCUCAACCAUAAACGAUGCCGACUAGGGAUUGGCGGAUGUUAAUUGAUGACUUCGCCAGCACCUUAUGAGAAAUCAAAGUUUUUGGGUUCCGGGGGGAGUAUGGUCGCAAGGCUGAAACUUAAAGGAAUUGACGGAAGGG
rnacentral:rRNA from 1 species